rnacentral:lncRNA from 1 species
GUCACUGGAAUGAUGGAUCUUAGGGGCCCAGGGGUAGCAGAGUGGGAAAGGCUGCACCCAUGCUCUGGAGGGUAGGAGGAUUGUUAUAUGGGACUCACAGCACAAACACGUGUGGAUGCAGUGAUUGUCAAAUGAUCCAAGGGCAUGUCUUGUUGCUCCUAUUUUUUUUUUCCUGUCUGAAUGGAAAACAGCAAUUUCCUCCAUUCCUGGUUAUUGCAGAUGAUCUGAUAAUUUAACCUGAGAGCCGUUAUUUCAUCUUAUUUUAUUUUAAAACUCAAAAGAAGUAUACUGUUCUCAUCUUAAACAGUGAGAUGUCUGGUCUUUAAUAUUACUCUUUCUUAACAUACAAUAAGCUAGCAGUGUGGUGAUGACAUGUAGAUACCUCCUAAUGUGCCAUAAAAUCAAGGCAUGCAUUUUAAAAUGUUUCGUGCCCAGAAAUCCAAACUUUUAUAGUUGUUGAGCAGCCAUCUUCAUAUGGUCUGUUCUGAAUUCUUAAAACCUGCAGGAGCUCAUCAGCCUAACCUGGCCCCUUCCAGCUCAUCCCCAUGUCCUAUUUUGCUAUAUUUGAGCAUAACAAGAUUUUAUCUCUUCCUUUUUAAAAAUUAAUUACCUAAUAAAUAUGACCAAAAAUUGUUAAAUAAUUUUUUAAUUACCUAAUAAAUGUGACCACAAAUAUUAAAUAAAAUUAUAUAGAUUAAAAUGCUGACGUUCUCUUCUCCCCCAUCCUAUUCCCUUGCCUAGAAGGAACUUCUGUAUAAAAAACUUGCUGGGUAUCCUUUUAGAAAUUUUAUGGUAUAUUAAUCUUGUAUACAUAUACAACUGUGGGUACCUAUACAACUAUGUCUCUCUUUCUUUUAAUACACUUCAAAUUCUUGCUAUAUACCAUAAUAUACUUAACCAUAUCUCCAUGAUGGACAUUUAAAUUGUUUGGAGUUUUUGGCUAUUACAAGCAAUAUUGCAGUAAACCUGUUUGUAUAAUUUUUCUGCACAUACUCCUGUAGAAUUACUAGAAGUGCCAUUUCUGAAUAAAAAAUUGACUAGUAUUACCAAGUUACCCUAUAAAAUGCCUAAUCAGUUUAUAUUCUAACAGGGUAUGAAAGUGCCCAUUUCUAGCCAACAUUAGAUACCCUCAGUCUCAUACUUAAGUAUUUUUUUUCCCCUAAUCAGUUAGAUGAAAGGUGAUUUUUUUAACUAACAAUUUUCUGAUUGAAUUUUCUGAUUGUUCCGUAG